rnacentral:rRNA from 1 species
UGGGGAAUAUUGGACAAUGGGGGCAACCCUGAUCCAGCAAUGCCGCGUGUGUGAAGAAGGUCUUCGGAUUGUAAAGCACUUUCGACGGGGACGAUGAUGACGGUACCCGUAGAAGAAGCCCCGGCUAACUUCGUGCCAGCAGCCGCGGUAAUACGAAGGGGGCUAGCGUUGCUCGGAAUGACUGGGUGUAAAGGGCGUGUAGGCGGUUUACACAGUCAGAUGUGAAAUCCCCGGGCUUAACCUGGGAGCUGCAUUUGAUACGUGUAGACUAGAGUGUGAGAGAGGGUUGUGGAAUUCCCAGUGUAGAGGUGAAAUUCGUAGAUAUUGGGAAGAACACCGGUGGCGAAGGCGGCAACCUGGCUCAUGACUGACGCUGAGGCGCGAAAGCGUGGGGAGCAAACAGGAUUAGAUACCCUGGUAGUCCACGCUGUAAACGAUGUGUGCUAGAUGUUGGGUAACUUUGUUAUUCAGUGUCGCAGUUAACGCGUUAAGCACACCGC